AGAGUUUGAUCAUGGCUCAGGAUGAACGCUGGCGGCGUGCUUAAGACAUGCAAGUCGAGCGCAGACGAGUAGCAAUUGAGUGGCGAAUGGGUGCGUAACACGUAGGUGACCUGCCUGGAAGUGGGGAAUAACAGCCCGAAAGGGCUGCUAAUACCGCAUGUGGCGCUGAGGGUUAGAGACCUUGGUGCGAAAGUCCGCAAGGACCGCUUCCAGAGGGGCCUGCGGCCCAUCAGCUAGUUGGUAAGGUAACGGCUUACCAAGGCACGACGGGUAGGGGACCUGAGAGGGUGGCCCCCCACACUGGCACUGACACACGGGCCAGACUCCUACGGGAGGCAGCAGUCGGGAAUAUUGCCCAAUGCGCGAAAGCGUGAGGCAGCAACGCCGCGUGCGCGAUGAAGGCCUUCGGGUCGUAAAGCGCUUUUCGGUGGGAGGAGGAAGGACCGUACCACCGGAAUAAGGUACGGCUAACUACGUGCCAGCAGCCGCGGUAACGU
rnacentral:rRNA from 1 species